CCUACGGGAGGCAGCAGUGAGGAAUAUUGGUCAAUGGGCGGAAGCCUGAACCAGCCAAGUAGCGUGCAGGAUGACGGCCCUACGGGUUGUAAACUGCUUUUAUACGGGAAUAACGCGCCUUACGUGUAGGGCUUUGCAUGUACCGUAUGAAUAAGGACCGGCUAAUUCCGUGCCAGCAGCCGCGGUAAUACGGAAGGUCCGGGCGUUAUCCGGAUUUAUUGGGUUUAAAGGGAGCGUAGGCCGCAUGUCAAGCGUGCUGUGAAAUGUCCGGGCUCAACCCGGGCCGGCCGUUGAAACUGGGGAUCGUGAGUGGGCGAGAAGUAUGCGGAAUGCGUGGUGUAGCGGUGAAAUGCAUAGAUAUCACGCAGAACUCCGAUUGCGAAGGCAGCAUACCGGCGCCCGACUGACGCUGAGGCACGAAAGCGUGGGGAUCGAACAGGAUUAGAUACCCGAGUAGUC
rnacentral:rRNA from 1 species